rnacentral:rRNA from 1 species
GAUGAACGCUGGCGGCGUGCCUAAUACAUGCAAGUCGAGCGAACAGACGAGGAGCUUGCUCCUCUGACGUUAGCGGCGGACGGGUGAGUAACACGUGGAUAACCUACCUAUAAGACUGGGAUAACUUCGGGAAACCGGAGCUAAUACCGGAUAAUAUAUUGAACCGCAUGGUUCAAUAGUGAAAGACGGUUUUGCUGUCACUUAUAGAUGGAUCCGCGCCGCAUUAGCUAGUUGGUAAGGUAACGGCUUACCAAGGCAACGAUGCGUAGCCGACCUGAGAGGGUGAUCGGCCACACUGGAACUGAGACACGGUCCAGACUCCUACGGGAGGCAGCAGUAGGGAAUCUUACGCAAUGGGCGAAAGCCUGACGGAGCAACGCCGCGUGAGUGAUGAAGGUCUUCGGAUCGUAAAACUCUGUUAUUAGGGAAGAACAAAUGUGUAAGUAACUAUGAACGUCUUGACGGUACCUAAUCAGAAAGCCACGGCUAACUACGUG